rnacentral:rRNA from 1 species
AGCGAACGCUGGCGGCAGGCCUAACACAUGCAAGUCGAACGAAGUCUUCGGACUUAGUGGCGGACGGGUGAGUAACACGUGGGAACGUGCCUUUAGAUUCGGAAUAACUCAGGGAAACUUGUGCUAAUACCGAAUGUGCCCUUCGGGGAAAGAUUUAUCGCCUUUAGAGCGGCCCGCGUCUGAUUAGCUAGUUGGUGAGGUAAUGGCUCACCAAGGCGACGAUCAGUAGCUGGUCUGAGAGGAUGACCAGCCACAUUGGGACUGAGACACGGCCCAAACUCCUACGGGAGGCAGCAGUGGGGAAUCUUGCGCAAUGGGCGAAAGCCUGACGCAGCCAUGCCGCGUGGAUGAUGAAGGUCUUAGGAUUGUAAAAUCCUUUCACCGGUGAAGAUAAUGACUGUAGCCGGAGAAGAAGCCCUGGCUAACUUCGUGCCAGCCGCCGCCGUAAAAC